CUCAUGUGCUGCCGUCUUCACCUCUGCAUGGCUCCCCAGUGCCUGGUGUGAUGUCUGACACAUGGCGGGCACUCAGUGUGUCAUAAAGGAAGAAAUGAUGUUACUAUGUAGCUUCUGUGAAGGGAGGAGCUCCACAGUUCAGUGUUUUCAUCAGAUGGAAACUUCUUUCUCUUCUCAAGAGGAAUCCCAGGAAGAAUGUAAGUGCGAAAGUCAUUUCUUCUGAUGCUCCCAGCAUCACGUGUUUCGCAGCCAAGGUUACCAGCAGGGGC